AAAGAGAGAAAACUUGCUUCCCACAAACUCUUAAAAAGAGAAGGAGAUAAAAAUAUUAUGUUUGGUGAUUUGGUGCAUUGUAAAAGGCUUCAGAAAUUAAGGUACUUAUGUGUUUUAGGGUUGAUGAGGAUUUACAUGCAAUUAAUAGGAUAACCAGGGGAAGAGAGAUCGGACUUGAUGAGAUUUUGGUGGACUUUUAGAAGAGCACAAACAAGUUAGGUAUGAAGUAGUUAACUGAAUUAUUUGAUACUAUGUUUUAGAUGACGAAACGGCCC
rnacentral:lncRNA from 1 species